CAUAACAAAAUAAACAAAAAGCACAAACAAUUUUGAUCUAGAGAUUAUGAUUUUGUGAUUGAAAGCUUUGCUCAUUUUGUUUUCUGAUGACGGAAUUUCAAGUGGUGAUGGACAUGGACUGUUGGAAACUGAUCUGAUCGACCGGACACACAAAAGUAACUUUGACCGGAUCGUGGAAUCAAAGACUCAAGACGGGAUAAUAUUAUGUAUUAUACAUGAAAGGAUUCGUCACACAUUUAAUUUGUUUACUGAAAUGGAUCUGCUGAAGAAUUACGGUUCGUCCGCGAGUAGCGAAUCUGAAGAGGAAGAAAAAGUGGAGAAAGAAGUUGACAACAAACCCACAAGACUCGAAGUGCCGUCCAGCAUAAAAUCGUUAUUUGGUGACGCUGGAGGACAACACCAGGAUGACCCCUCUCUGCACCAAGGCCGAGUUCGAGGUUUUGCUCACGAACGAGGAUUGUGGGCAGGUUUGGUGAGCAUCGAAGUUGGACCUCCAUUGGAAGACUGGACGCGUCUAUUGAAUCAAUUGUCUGAUGUCAGUCCUUGUCCGGAACCACUUCACGUAAGCCUGAGUCGACCUUUGCAACUGCGGCAUCUCUGGAUCUCCUCCCUGGUGGCCGAUUUGCGCAAACGUGCUUCCAAGCUCUUACAUUUUGAGAUAAUUUUCGGAGACGUUACCGUUUUGGUGAACGAAGAGCGAACCAGGACAUUUGUUUGUGUUGAUGCCGUGGGCAGUGGACUGGAGACGGCCUGUUCUUUAGCAGAAGCCGCCGGUGCUGAAUAUCGACUGCCUCCGUAUUACGAGGGCCGUCGAUUCCACGUCAGCAUAGGAUGGGCCCUCGGAGAUCAAGAGACUCGACUGAAAGCUGCCUUGGCCAAUUUGGUGCUGCCCUCGCCUGCCUCCUUCGCAGUGACGCAACUGCAGCUCAAAGCUGGCAACCAGCAGUACCAAAUUCCACUUCAGCAUCGAUAGCGUUCAUAAAAUAAACUUCCCUCCGAAAUCUCUGAAUGAAAAGUGCCAGUUUCCCGCUCAAAUUCAAACCGGUCGUCUCCGUCGCUCCAGCUGGCAGAGCAAAACAUUUCAAAACUCCCAAGUCGAUUAAAUAUUUGUGAGGUGAGAAGUGACCCUUUUUCUUCCGGCAAAAUGGGCAAUUCGAACGUCCGGCCGCGCACUCUGAGCAUCGAUAAUGACUUGUCCGCACCUUCCGCCGCUGCGCCUGCAACCGCCCCAAAGGCUGUGACCCCAGAACCGAUCUCGGAAAGCGUCUUCGACCCUCAGGGUGACCCUUCGGCGCAACUCGAGGCUGCCCUGGCGCCGUUCAAUCGAAGACUCUCUCGGGACGCCGCUGCACCCCUUCCACCCCAACUCGGCGAGCUCUCGCAAUGUCUGCGAGGAAAGUCUGCAGGCCUUUACUGUCUCCAACCUGCCCAUGACUUUGCAGAGGUGUCACACAUCUCACCUGCCACCCCUUGAUUUAGAAAUUUAGAAUUUAAGAAAUUAUCGCUGAUUGUGACAAUGUAAAUAUUUGAAUAAAAAGUGUUACACUUGAUCUGUUGAAAUAGA